rnacentral:misc_RNA from 1 species
GAUGAAACUGGUGGUUGGUAACACGGGCAUGGGUUAUUAUAAGGAAGUAGAACACUAUGACAGAUACAUUGAUCUCAGUUAUAUUCCUGAACUCUCAAUGAUUAGGAGGGAUCACACUGGGAUUGAAAUUGGGGCAGCUGUUACUAUUUCCAAGGCUAUUGAAGCUUUGAGGGAAGAAAACAAAGAUGAAUUUAUAUCUGCAAGUGAGCUGGUGUUCAAAAAAAUUGCAGACCAUAUGGAGAAAAUCGCUGCCAAAUUUAUUAGAAAUAUUGGCAGUAUUGGGGGAAAUUUGGUG